ACUGUAUGCGAUAUUGACUGCAGUGGCUUGUUGUGGUGUAGAGGUGUGGGGGGAUAUGUGAUCGGUAAUGUAAGUAACUGUAAGAGUAGGAUAUAUGAUUGAGGGUGAUGGGAAAUGUAAAUCUGCCACAGAUUCCCACUUUUCCCACUUCUACCCAGCCACCCAUUCUUUUUCUUAUUUACCUGUGGUUCGUAAAAGCAUGUGUUGGCCGUCAAAACGCACUUCUAGCUGGAGAGAGCUCAUGUCUCCCUGAUUUCCUCUAAGCCAAAGAGAAUGCAGAGCUGCUGGAGAACUUGUACAAAACCACCAUCACGUACUUCUAUAGCAGCUGGGAAGAGAUCUGGGCAGUUGUAGCCAAGUUAGCUGGUGAGAGAUGAUGCCCAGUGUCCCUUUUGGUAUUCCUAUUGAGGGAGACAGAAAAAAUCUCACUGUAAAUCACUGAGCUGCCAUUAAUCUCUCUGUGCCUCAGCUUCCCACGCAUAAAUGGAGAUAUUAAUAUCCCUACCUCUCCCGCGUGGUGGUAGGAGGAAUUCAUUAGUUGCUAUAAAGUGCUUCGGGAUUGUUGCAGGGAAAGCAUGGUGCAGUCAUUUAGUAGUAGAGGCUGAGACACUGUCACAUAGGGUAUGUUUACACUUUGAGCUGGGGGUAUAAUUCCCAGCUUGAUGAGACAUACCCGCACUAGCCCUGAGUGCUAAAAAUAGAGAGUGGCCGCGAUGGCAGGAGCAGCAGGAGGGGCUAACCACCCCAAGUAUGAUCCCAUCCAAACCCCAAAGUCUAUUCUCAAGGUGGUUAGCUCCUCCCACUGCUUGUGCUGCCUUAGCUACAUUCUAUUUUUAGCAUGCUAGCUCAGUCAGAGCUAGUGUGGGCAUGUCCCAUUGAGCUGGGAAUGAUACCCCUACCUCAAAGUGCAGACCUACCCACAGCAUUGUUCAGUGCUCCUUACGGCUACUUCAUCAUUCAUGCAGCCCGCCUCCCCAUAGUGCCUGCUGUUUCAGGUUCCUGGCCACACCACCUUGUCAAGGAAGCAUUAGCAUUACUCCUCUUUGGCCUUGUGCCCUCUUCUCCCUAGCACACCCAUGUGAGACAGGCAGGCAUUGUGGCCUAAGUCAUCUAUCAGUCACCUUGUGAGAUCCCCGCUUAGAACUCACUUAUUCCUGACCCCAGUCCUUUGCUCAGACCGCUAGACCAGGACACUAUCCUAGUAUGUCUCCAAUAACUGACAGCAGUGGCAAGAGGAACACAGACUAUUUAAAGCAAAUGGGUUUUAUGUAAACAUUCUUUUUAAAAAGUCUCUCUUAUUCUCUUCAGUGUGGACUCUAAACUGCUCUAGCAUCCUCUUGUUCACAGCUCAUCCUUAGGCCCACAGUGGGAGAAGCCAAAGACCUGUCUAGGAGCUGCUAAUAUCACCGUGCACUCAGCAAGGGAAGGUUUUGUUGUUGUUGUUUGUUUUACAUUGUGUAUUUAGGCAUCACCCUGGAACACACAGACACCCAGCGUAUGAAAUGGCUGGACCUGGAACAACUGCUGAUCUCUAUUUCAGGCACAGGUGACUAUGAAAAGUGAGCCAUAUUCAUCUCUCCAGCUAUUUCAGGCACAGGUGACUAUGAAAAGUGAGCCAUAUUCAUCUCUCAUCUAUUUUCCAUCCCAAUAUGAGGAUUGAGACCAGUUUCACAUUUUUCCAUGUGAUCAUUCUGCUCAGCUCUCCAGGUCCUACAGAAAGACCCGAGUCCCACUGUCCAGCUGGUGGCAACUCCAGUCCUAAGUGACAUCUCUCCUGGCAGAAUGCUUGGGGAAUGAAGCAGAAAGGAGACAAAGAGAACAAGGCUUUGCCGCUACCCAAAAUCAGAACAAGAGAGAGGGAGAGAGAGGCAACUAUAAUACUGGCCAGUAUUCGCUGUUGUCAUACUGCUCAGAUGCUGUGCUGGCCAUGUAUCUCACAAACAAGGUCCUAUGCAGAUAACCCAGCCCCAGCUUUUGUAAUUACUAUGCACACAUUUCCUACUAAACUGUUUGAAGUAUCUGUUUCAAUUGCUCAGAGGCCUGAUUUCUUCUUCCAUUGUGGGGCUUCCUGCAUGUCCACUGUAACCAUGAUGUAGGUGCUUCCUCCCUUGCCCUUUCCCCAUGGAGAUGGAAGAAGACUUCAGCCCAGUGCUUCUCUGGGGUCACUAACCACUCUUCCGGAAUCCACACAAAGCUAGAUCUAAUCCCUAUAGUUAGUGAUCUGGGGUCUGGUUCUUAAUCAUAUCCUCUUCUUUGUCUUUCUGGAAAUUCAGUAUUGCUGAUGAAUUCUGGGUUGUAAGUGGAAUGGACUGUGUUCUGGUGAGUUACCCUGCCCCCUGUCUAACCUAUUUCUGGGUCAGAAGGCUAUCUGUGAACUGUCUGUUUACUUACAGACUUAGGGUAGGUUUCAGAGUGGUAGCCGUGUUAGUC